GAUGAACGCUAGCGGCAGGCCUAAUACAUGCAAGUCGAACGGGAUCCAGAUCAAAGCUUGCUUUGGUCUGGUGAGAGUGGCGCACGGGUGCGUAACGCGUGAGCAACCUACCCUUGUCAGGGGGAUAGCCCGGCGAAAGUCGGAUUAAUACCGCAUGACAUCAUUGAGAGGCAUCUUUCGAUGAUCAAAGAUUUAUCGGACAAGGAUGGGCUCGCGUGACAUUAGCUAGUUGGUAAGGUAACGGCUUACCAAGGCUGCGAUGUCUAGGGGCUCUGAGAGGAGAAUCCCCCACACUGGUACUGAGACACGGACCAGACUCCUACGGGAGGCAGCAGUAAGGAAUAGUGGUCAAUGGACGGAAGUCUGAACCAGCCAUGCCGCGUGCAGGAAGACGGCCCUAUGGGUUGUAAACUGCUUUUAUACGGGAACAAACGUCGGUACGUGUACCGGUCUGAGUGUACCGUAAGAAUAAGGAUCGGCUAACUCCGUG
rnacentral:rRNA from 1 species